AGACCCGAAACCCGGUGAUCUAGCCAUGGGCAGGUUGAAGGUUGGGUAACACUAACUGGAGGACCGAACCGACUAAUGUUGAAAAAUUAGCGGAUGACCUGUGGCUGGGGGUGAAAGGCCAAUCAAACCGGGAGAUAGCUGGUUCUCCCCGAAAGCUAUUUAGGUAGCGCCUCGUGAAUUCAUCUCCGGGGGUAGAGCACUGUUUCGGCUAGGGGGCCAUCCCGGCUUACCAACCCGAUGCAAACUGCGAAUACCGGAGAAUGUUAUCACGGGAGACACACGGCGGGUGCUAACGUCCGUCGUGAAGAGGGAAACAACCCAGACCGCCAGCUAAGGUCCCAAAGUCAUGGUUAAGUGGGAAACGAUGUGGGAAGGCCCAGACAGCCAGGAUGUUGGCUUAGAAGCAGCCAUCAUUUAAAGAAAGCGUAAUAGCUCACUGGUCGAGUCGGCCUGCGCGGAAGAUGUAACGGGGCUAAACCAUGCACCGAAGCUGCGGCAGCGACACUCAGGUGUUGUUGGGUAGGGGAGCGUUCUGUAAGCCUGUGAAGGUGGCCUGUGAGGGUUGCUGGAGGUAUCAGAAGUGCGAAUGCUGACAUAAGUAACGAUAAAGCGGGUGAAAAGCCCGCUCGCCGGAAGACCAAGGGUUCCUGUCCAACGUUAAUCGGGGCAGGGUGAGUCGACCCCUAAGGCGAGGCCGAAAGGCGUAGUCGAUGGGAAACGGGUUAAUAUUCCCGUACUUGGUGUUACUGCGAAGGGGGGACGGAGAAGGCUAUGUUGGCCGGGCGACGGUUGUCCCGGUUUAAGCGUGUAGGUGUGUGUUCCAGGUAAAUCCGGUUCACUUUAACACUGAGGCGUGACGACGAGGCACUACGGUGCUGAAGCAACAAAUGCCCUGCUUCCAGGAAAAGCCUCUAAGCAUCAGGUAACAUCAAAUCGUACCCCAAACCGACACAGGUGGUCAGGUAGAGAAUACCAAGGCGCUUGAGAGAACUCGGGUGAAGGAACUAGGCAAAAUGGUGCCGUAACUUCGGGAGAAGGCACGCUGACAC
rnacentral:rRNA from 3 species